GCCUGUAGCCAUACCACCUCGAGCUCUGAUCCCAUCAGAUCACAGAAGCUAAGACAGGUGAGCCUGGGUCACUAUUUGAAUUGAAAACUUCAUAGGAACUUAGGUAUUGCAUGAA
ensembl:rRNA 5S_rRNA 5S ribosomal RNA